rnacentral:rRNA from 1 species
UACGGGGGGGGCAAGCGUUGUUCGGAAUUACUGGGCGUAAAGGGCGCGUAGGCGGCCUGCUAAGUCGGAUGUGAAAUCCCUCGGCUCAACCGAGGAACUGCAUCCGAUACUGGCGGGCUUGAAUCCGGGAGAGGGAUGUGGAAUUCCAGGUGUAGCGGUGAAAUGCGUAGAUAUCUGGAGGAACACCGGUGGCGAAAGCGCUCUGCUGGACUGCAACUGACACUCAGGGACGAAAGCUAGGGGAGCGAAUGGG